UACGUAGGGAGCAAGCGUUGUCCGGAAUCAUUGGGCGUAAAGCGCGCGUAGGCGGCCCCGUAAGUCCGCUGUGAAAGUCAAAGGCUCAACCUUUGAAAGCCGGUGGAUACUGUGGGGCUAGAGUAUGGAAGAGGCGAGUGGAAUUCCUGGUGUAGCGGUGGAAUGCGCAGAUAUCAGGAGGAACACCGGUGGCGAAGGCGGGUCUCUGGGCAAUAACUGACGCUGAGGAGCGAAAGCGUGGGGAGCGAACAGG
rnacentral:rRNA from 1 species